AAAGUGUACAUAGAUUGCAGGAGUAAAAAAACAUAAUGUGUGGUGACACACUGUCUAUUCCAUAAGCUCUAUUUUGGGACAAGUAAAAUAUGCCACCUGUUCCCUCUCUUCUGGGUCCUUGGCAGGUUAUUUCCAGUUCACAGGCUGUCCUAGAUCAGUAUCAUUCAAAACUUUCUGGGAGCUGUUGCAGAAAUAUCUAGUAAAAAAUCUCUGGCCAUUUUACUUUGCUCAAACCUUUAUUAGAGUAAGAGACUUUCUGGCACUUUUGGGAUUUGCCAUGGCUGAAGCUGCUUGUGCGGAGGACCAGUGGGUGGUAGAAGCUACUGAGGAUGAAUUUGGCGAAAUCAUUAAAACAAGAUCAGAUGAAAGAGAAGACAUACAAAAGAAAACCUUUACAAAGUGGAUAAAUUCUCAAUUUGCUAAGGCAGGAAAACCCCCUAUUGAUGACCUCUUCACAGACUUGUGUGAUGGCCGCCGUCUUCUGGAACUUUUGGAAUGCUUGACUGGGCAUGAAUUAGUGAAGGAGCGUGGUUUCACCCGUGUGCACUCACUCAAUAAUGUCAACAGAGUGCUGCAGAUCCUUCAGAAGAACAAUGUUGAGCUGGUGAAUAUUGGAGGAGCUGACAUUGUUGAUGGCAAUCAUAAAUUGACUUUAGGUCUCAUCUGGAGCAUAAUUGUUCACUGGCAGGUGAAAGAUGUGAUGAAAGAUGUGAUGGCAGACUUGAAGCAAACCAGCAGUGAGAAGAUAUUGUUGAGUUGGGUUAGGCAGUCCACCAAGAGCUACCCACUGGUCAAUGUUGUAAACUUCACUAGCAGCUGGGAAGAUGGUCUGGCCUUUAAUGCUCUGAUCCAUAGCCACAGGCCGGAGUUGUUUGAUUGGGAUGUGGUGGAAGAGAUGGAUAAAGCAUUUGACCGGUUGGAUCAUGCGUUCACCAUUUCUGAAAGGCAUUUGGGCAUUGAACGGCUGCUUGACCCUGAGGAUGUUGCUACUGCUACUCCAGAUAAGAAGUCUAUAAUUAUGUACCUCACAUCAUUGUUUCAAGUUCUGCCCCAUGGUGUGAGUAAGGAGGCUAUAGAGGAAGUUGAGUCUCUCCCGCAAGCUAAAAUCUCUAAAGAGAAACAUUUCCACCUUCAAACACAACAACGUUAUUCCCAGCAGAUCACAGUCAGUGUGGCUCAUAGUCAAGUACGCAGCCAGUCUCCAUCAAACAAGUUACGCUACAAAAGCUAUGCCUUCACUCAGGCUGCAUAUGUUCGAUCUCCUGGGCAGACAAGAAAGACCCCCGUCACAGUGUCUUCAGAAAGUCCAGACGAUAUGUGGCCGUCCCCGGGACCUCUUCAACAUGGCACAAACCAGCUAGAGAGUUAUCAGAACUCCCUAGAAGAGGUCUUGACAUGGCUUCUGUCUGCUGAGGAUGGCCUGCAAGGUCAGCCACCCAUCUCAUCGUCUGCAGAUGAAGUGAAGGAGCAGUUUCACACUUAUGAGGGAUACAUGAUUGAGCUGACUGCUCAUCAGGGAAGUGUGGGUAACGUGUUAAAGGCAGGGAGCAUCCUCUUGGCUGAAGGACAGCUGACUGAAGAUGAGGAGAAUGAAAUUCGGGAGCAGAUGAAUUUGUUAAACUCUCGCUGGGAACAUUUACGUGUGGCCAGUAUGGAACGACAAAGCAGGCUUCAUGGAGUUUUAAUGGACCUUCAGAAUCAGCAGCUCAAACAGCUCUCCACCUGGUUAGAUGUUACUGAAGCUCGAAUUAAGCAAAUAGAAGCCCAGCCUUUAGGUCCAGAAAUUGAACAUCUGAAACAUCAAAUUGAAGAGCACAAGCUGUUACAAGAGGAUCUGGAAAUGGAGCAGGUGCAAGUGAACUCUCUGACUCACAUGGUUGUAGUAGUAGAUGAAAAGAGUGGAGACAACGCCACUGCAGCACUGGAGGAGAAACUACAGAACCUUGGAGAGCGAUGGGCUGCUAUCUGUAAAUGGACAGAGGACCGGUGGCUCCUCCUUCAGAGGAUCCUGAAGACUUGGCAGCAUUUCACUGAGGAACAGCAUAUGUUUGAAUCCUGGCUAACACAGAAAGAGCAGUUAUUGCUUUCUAUCCAAAGCAGUGGUACCACUGAUCACAGUGAAGUGGCAGCUAAUCUCAGAAAGCUUACUAUUCUGAAAGCAGACAUUGAGCUCAAAAGACAGACCAUGGACAAACUUUGCUCCCUUAUUCAAGAUCUGUUAUCCAACAUAAGGAAUAAACAGGCUUCAGAAAAACUUGAAGCAAAGUUAGAAACGUUCACUGAGCGAUGGGACAAACUAGUACAGUCACUUCAGCUCACUAGCACCAAGCUUUCAACCACUGUUACUACAUACCAGGUUGAAACUACACACAAAACUGUGGAAGCCAGCAUUCCCCUGCAUCAGAAAAAAGUGGUGAAGCAUGUUAAAGAGGGUCUGACUACUCCUCCACCUCAAAAAAAGCGUCAGAUUGUUGUUGACUCAGAGCUUCGCAAGAGGUUUGAUGUGGAUUUUACUGAGAUUCACAGUUUCAUGACACGCUCAGAAGCCAUCUUGCAGAGUCCUGAAUUCUCAGUUUCACGCAAAGAGGGCAGUGUUGCAGACCUCUAUGAGAAAGUCUUGGCAAUUGAUAAGGAAAAACCAGAGAAGCUUAGAAAGCUACAGGAAGCAACCCGGUCAGCUCAGGCCCUGGUAGAUCAGCUCACAAGUGAUGGGCAGAAUUCUGAUGAUAUUCAACAAGCUGCUCAGCAGUUACAUGCCCGGUGGGUUGAGUUUUGUUCUCUACUGGCUGAGAGGCUAGCAUGGCUGGCCUACCAGACUAAAGUCCUGGCUUUCUACAAUCUCUUCCAUAACUUGGAGCAGCUCGUAGCAAAUUCAGAGAACUGGCUGAAAAUUCAGCAACCCCCAGCAUGUGAACUAGAGCCACUGAGGAUCCAGCUUGAGCGCUGCAGGGAUGAGAUAGCUCGUCUAUCUGUGCUUGAACCAGAAGUAGAGCACUUACAUGAUCAACUUGUGGAGCUAAAAGAGAAAGAGGAAACACAAGUGUUAUUUGAUGCUGAUAUAGCUGCAUUCCAGGUCCACUACCAGAAUGUUCUUGCAGACUUAAAGGCCAGAGAGAAACAACUUGUAUUAGUCCAGACUAGCCUUCCACCCACACGCUACAAGGAAGUAAUGGCAACUCUAAUGGUUUGGCUGCAACAAAUUGAAGACAAACUACCUUCUACAGCUGUAACCGAGUACCCAGUCAUGGAUCAGAGGCUGAAAGACACUAUGGCAGUUCAAGCUGAGCAACAAGAGCACCAGAGUAAAAAAGACGAUCUCAAUAAGAUGGCUGAACAGGUGUACCAGAAAGCUCCCCCUGAGAUAUCGCAAAGAUAUCACACUGAGAUGGACAGUAUGAUGGCCUGUUGGAGACAUUUGUGUGAACAACUGAAAGAAAACAUACAAAAAUUGCAGGACCACAUUACUAAGCUGCAGCAGUUUCAGAAUGACACAAAGACCCUGCAGAAAUGGAUGAGUGAGGUUGAUGUGUUUUUGAAUGAGGAAUGGCCAGCCUUAGGAGAUUCAGAAGCUCUUGAGAAGCAACUUGAACAGUGCACGGCCUUAGUUAAUGACAUUCAUACUGUCCAACCUAGCCUUAAUGGCAUCAAUGAGGUUGGACAGGCCCUGAAGAAGGAAGCAGAGCCGCAAUUUGCUGUCAAAAUACAGAAGCUGCUUGAUGACCUCAAUUCUCAGUGGGAAUUAAUUUGCAAACAGGCAUAUGCAAAAAGAUCUGCCUUGAAAGGUGGACUGGAUAUGACAGUGAGUUUAAAGAAGGAGAUGCAAGAGAUGCAAGAGUGGAUUACACAAGCAGAAGAAGAUUACCUAGAGAGUGAUUUUCAUUAUAAAACACCUGAAGAACUCCAUAUAGCAGUGGAUGAUCUUAAGAGAGCACAAGAAGAAAUCCAUCAGAAAGAAAUAAAAGUAAAACAUCUGGAAGAUAAAGUUACCAAUUUUAUUGAGAAGGCUCCACCCACAGCCCAUGAGGCCCUAAAGGAAGAACUAAAUGUUUUAACUACCAACUACCAGCGGCUGUGUAAUCGACUUGAUGGGAAGUACAAGACAUUAGAGGAGGUGUGGGCUUGCUGGUGUGAAUUGCUUUGUUAUUUGGAACAUGAAAAUGCUUGGAUGGAUCUACUAGAACAAAAACUUAAUGAGGUGGAGAACUUUCAAGGAGGAGCAGACAAAAUUGCUGAGGCUGUGGAUUCUUUAGAUACCAUGAUCAAACAACAUCCUGAACACAAUCGUAAUCAAAUCCAUGAGUUGGCCCAGACACUUAUGGAUGGAAGAGUCCUUGAUGAGCUCAUUCAUAAGAAGGUGGAAGAUUACAACAUUCGCUGGGAUGAACUUAUGCAAAGGGCUUUGCAAAGGCGACAAGAGCUAGAGAAAAGCUUACAGUGGGUGAACAAGAGUGACAAAACUCUGCGUCUAAUACAAGAUUCUCUAAAGGCAACUGAUCGACAUUUGAAUGCAUAUCUUACAGAUGGUAUAGAUGCUGCUCAGAUACCUCAGGAAGCUCAGAAAAUUCAAACUGAACUGAGUGGUCAUGAAGGAACUCUAGAUGGUAUGAAGAAAAGUUGCAGUGAAGAUGCAUCAGAAAAAAUGGUCACUGAGAUUGAUGCUACAUAUGCUAAAUUAUUGGAGGUGAAAGCAAAGUUUCGACUUUUUCAAAAGCCAGCCAACUUCGACCAGAGGUUGAAAGAAUGUGAACGUGUAUUGGAAGAAGUGAAGGGUGAACUUGGGGUGCUGAGCAUCCACAGUGUAGAGCAGGAGGUGGUGCAAUCCCAGUUGGAGCAGUGCAUGAAGUUGUAUAAAAAUCUAAGUGAAGUGAAAUCAGAAGUGGAGAUGGUAAUUAAGACAGGAAGGCAAAUUGUGCAGAGACAGCAGACAGAGCAACCAAAAGAGCUGGACGAGCGUUUAACAAGUCUUAAACUUUUGUACAACGACUUGGGUUCACAGGUAACAGAGGGAAAGCAAGCCCUAGAAAAAAGUUUUAAGUUACUGAGAAAAUUUAAAAAAGACAUUAAAACUCUAACAGAAUGGUUAGCAGCUGUUGAUGGUGAACUGACUCGUCGGUCAUCGGUGGAAGGAAUGCCAAGUGACCUGGAAGCGCAGCUGACGUGGGCCAAGGCCACACAUAAGGAUACAGAGCAUCACACACCCCAACUCUGUUUAGUAAGAGAUUUAGCAGAAGCCCUAAAAGCACAUAUAACAGAGAAAAGCCUAAUAGAUGACAAAGUCAGCUUGUUGAACAGCAACUGGAUUGCUGUGACAUCACGCAGUGAACAGUGGCUCAAUUUGUUGCUGGAUUACCAGAGUCAGAUGAAUACAUUGGAAAAAAAUGUUGCUCUCAUAAAUGCCUGGAUAGAUGAAGCUGAGACUCAGUUAGACAAGCUGGAGAACCAGGGCUGCAUUAACCAUGUAAUCAAGAGUCUACAAGCAGAAUUGGAAGAAAUGCGUGGAAAAGUAGUUGAUGUCCAAAACCUUGGUGAAGACAUCAUUAAAACCAGAGGGGAGCACUGUAAAACUCAAAUAGAGCCCAAGCUGAAUCAGCUCAGUCAACGUUUUGAGAUGGUCACCAGAAGGAUUCUUCAUGGAGAGGCUUCCACUCAAGAAUUAGAAGAGUACCACAGGCAAGCUAAUAUGUGCCUAGUCCAGCUAGAAGAAGAGAUUAAACUGGGUGAAAACAUCAAAGAAGAUGAUUUCAUAGAAGAUGCAGUUGUUGAUGAAGAUGAAAUGAAGGACCUGUUCUUAAAAGGAGAAAAUCUGCUAAAGAGAACCACAGAUCCGGCAAAGACAGCUGUUGGUCAAAAACAUAAUCUACUUCAUGAUAAAUACAACACCCUGAAGAGCCUGAGAGCGCUUAGGAGGAAGAAGGCACUUGCUUUUGCCCCACAGUGGUACCAGUUCUGUAAGAGGUCAGAUGAUAUGAUGCAAUGGCUUGACAACAUUGAGAAGAUGCUGGCUGGACUGCCAGAUUCUGCAGCUCAACCAAGAGUAAAGAUUGCCAAUGAGAUUGAACAGCAGCGUCCAGUACUUGAAGAUGUGCGUCGAGUUGGUCAGAAGCUCUCAGAAGAUGGCUUUGUCAAACUGGUAGAACCACGCCUCAUUCCGAUUAAUAAACGCUGGGGACAGCUAGAUAUGAAAUUUGAAGGAUAUAAUGAAUUGCAAGCAUUGCUGCGUAUUAUUGAUGAAAAUGAUUCGCGACUGACCUCGUCUAUAUGGUGGUCUGACAUAACUGAAAAUAUGUCCAAGCAAGAAAAGUGCCUUAAGGAAGUAAAGCAUACUUUGGAAACUCUCGAAGCUCCAGUGAUGGCUUUAGAGAAGAAAAACAUACCUCCUCAUGAUAAUCCACUUGUUCAUCUCCUCAGUACCAAGUGGGAACAGCUGAAAAAGCUCUAUCAGAAUAGGCUAGGAUACUUUGACAAAUGCAAGAAAUAUGGGGACAUGUUAAAAAACAUCCACAGUUGGCUGACUGUUGCAGAAAAAACAUUAUUGAUGUAUGAAGAAAACCCAAACAACCACAGGAGCCACAUCAAGGAACUGCAGGAAGAUUUGGAAAAUCAAGAGGCAACAGUAAAAGCGCUUAACUCUCUAGGUGAGGACCUAGCCUUGCAGGACAGGAAGGAUAAUGGAGAAAAGAUUAAAAAUCAGCUAGAUGCCGUCAAUACCCGCUGGACUACAGUGUUCAGUCAGCUGUCUGAUAUAAAGAGAAGAUCUACGGGGGAAAAGAUUAUACUUACUGAGCUUCAUGAAGAUAUUGAAGAGUUUCAGUCUUGGCUAGAUAAAGCAGAGUGCAUUGCUGCCCUACCCAUAGAAUCAGACCACAGGGAACAGCUCAACAUGGCAUUAGGAAAAGUAAAGGCUGAAGUAACAGAAUUACCAGACAGAAUGAAAAUAUUACACAAAAUGAAUACAAAAGCUUCAUCUCUCUCUGAUGACAAAAACAAGAAUUUGGGGAACAGUUUCAAGAUUAUCAACUUGCGAUGGGCCAAGGUAUCAUCUAACCUUCCUGAGAAACAGCAACAGAUUGAGAAUCACUUGAGAGAUUUGGAUCUGUACCUCAAGCUCUCCAGCUGGGCCUCUGCAACUAAGAACCUACUUGAACAGUCACCUGAUGCAAUUGAACAUAAGACUGAUGAUAUCCAGUCCAAGAAGUCAGAAAUAGAAGCAGUUUUGGCAAAAGAGAGACCACUUUAUCAACCUGAAAGGGACCAGUUUGAUAGUCUCAGUGCAGACUGGAUGAACAUUCAAAUGCUGCUUAAGGAAUGGAAAAAUAAAUGUCAAGUAGCAACUGAAUACUUGACAAGCAGUGCCGCAGAUGUUUCAGCAAUGGACACAUUUAAUAAUUCAAGCACUGAACUUAAUGACUGGCUCUCUCUUCUCGAUCACAUGAUUACACAGCGGGUGAGAGUAGGAGAUCUCAGUGAUAUCAGUGAUCUUACUGUGAAACUCAAGUCAGUGGGGAAAGACAUGGAACAGAGACGCCCAUAUCUGAAUAAACAGGUCACUGCAUCGGAAAACCUCAAAAACAAAACCAGCAAUCCUCAGAUGCGUGCUACAAUUACAGAUCAAAUUGAGAAAUUGCAAGCACACUGGGAAGACUCACAUACCAAGCUAAUGGACAGGAUAAUUCAACUUCAGAACAUGUAUCAAGAUUCUAAGGAUUGGCUGGAUGCCAAGAAAUUGGUGGAGUCUCACAUAAACCAAGCCAAUGAAAAACUAGAAGGAUGGAAGGAAGUCUCUUUAAGUUCUGAUCUUGCAAAUGUUAAGAAAAUUGUUAAAGAUAUACGGCUGUGGCAAGCUGAAGUCGACAGGACUAAUGAACUGGCAAAUAAGCUACUGGUUGUUUAUGCAAAUGAUGACACAAGCAAGAUCAAACAGAUGACCGAGAAUAUGAAUCUUGCUUGGGGCAAUAUCAAAAAAGGUGCAGAGGAUACAGAGGCUGACCUAGAGGCCAGACUGCAGCAAAUGGAUCACUUUUAUGCAGACCUGGAGAGGUUUUUUAACUGGCUAACUGAAGCAGAAACUACAGCAAAUGUCUUACAAGAUGCUACAUACAAGGAAUGUCUUCCAGAAGAUCCAGCUGCAGUGCACCGCUUAGUAGAGCAAUGGCAAGAUCUGCAGAGAGAGAUUAAUACCCAGACAGAUGUGUAUCAUUCACUGGAUGAAAAUGGGCACCGUAUUGUGGCAUCACUGGGAAGGACAGACAAUGCAAUAGUGCUGCAAAAACAACUUUACAACAUGGGAAAACGCUGGCAAGAAUUAUGUAAAAAAGUCAACAAUAUGAGGCCUCACCUGGAUGAUAGUAUGGAAGAGUGGAAACAUUUUCACCUAUCCUUACAGGGCCUACUCCAGUGGCUACAGCUUAAGAGAGAGGAGCUGGAGCAACAGAAACCAGUUGGGGGGGAUAUCCCUACUGUUCGCCAGCAACUGAUCACCCAUAAGGACUUCAGGAGGGAGCUGAGUGCAAAAGAACCUUCAAUAAAUGGAGCACUUGAUAAUGUGAAAAGUGUUUUAAUUGAAAUGCCUGGUGAAGAAUGGAAACAGACUCCUGUUAAAAGAGUUGUCAGCUCUGAGGAAAGAAUUCAAAAUGUGGAACGCAUUUUACGUAAGGAAGCAGAGGAUGUAAGCAAACUAUGGAAGAACCUUGGUACAGCUGCAGAAGACUGGCAACAGCAGUUGGAGCUAGCUUUGGAGAGACUGCUGGGACUUCAAGAUUCAGAAGAUCGAUUAGAGUUUAAGCUUCAACAAGCUGAAAUUCAAAACAAUUCUUGGACACCAGUUGGAGACUUGCUUAUUGACAGUUUAAAUGACCAAAUCAACAUGGUUAAGGGAUUCAAGGAGAUGAUAGCACCAAUCCAGGAUGAUGUAAAUCAAGUGAACAAGUUGGCUUCUCAGUUUAAAAUUCCUGGUAUUCAACUUUCUCCAGAAAACCUAAAGAGAAAUGAUGAUCUCAAUAGACGAUGGAGACUUCUUCAGAUAUCAGUUGAAGAACAUCUGUCCCAGCUUAUUGAGGCCCACAGAGAUUUAGGACCCAAUUCUCAGCAUUUUCUACAAGUGUCUGUGCAAAGUCCUUUUGAACGCUCUGUUUCUCAAAACAGUGUUCCUUAUUAUAUAAACCACCAAACACAAACAACAUGUUGGGACCAUCCAAAAAUGACUGAGUUGUACCAGUCCUUAGCGGAUCUCAACAAUGUAAGAUUUUCAGCAUACAGAACAGCAAUGAAGUUACGGAGGCUGCAGAAAGCUCUGUGCUUGGACCUACUGGGGAUGUCAACAGCAUGUGAAGCCUUUGAACAGCACAGCCUGAAACAAAAUGAGCAGUUCAUAGACAUUAUACAGGUGAUAAGCUGUCUGACAAGUAUCUAUGACCGUCUGGAGCAGCAGCAUAGCAGCCUUGUGAACGUUCCUCUGUGUGUGGACAUGUGUCUCAACUGGUUGCUGAAUGUUUAUGACACUGGUAGAACCGGGAGGAUCCGAACCCUGUCUUUGAAAACAGGAAUAAUUUCUCUCUGCAAAGCUCACCUUGAAGACAAAUACAGAUUUCUGUUUAGACAGGUGGCUAGUGCCACAGGAUUCUGUGACCAGCGACGCCUUGGCCUUCUGCUGCAUGACUCAAUCCAGAUCCCCCGGCAGCUGGGUGAGGUGGCAUCAUUUGGAGGAAGCAACAUUGAACCUAGUGUGCGCAGCUGUUUUCAGUUUGCAAAUAACAAGCCAGAACUAGAAGCAUCAGUUUUCUUAGACUGGAUGCGCUUGGAGCCUCAGUCAAUGGUCUGGCUUCCUGUACUUCAUCGUGUUUCAGCAGCAGAGACAGCCAAGCACCAGGCCAAAUGCAACAUCUGCAAGGAAUGUCCUAUUAUUGGCUUCAGGUAUAGAAGCUUAAAGCACUUUAACUAUGACAUCUGCCAGAGCUGCUUCUUUUCUGGCAGAGUGGCUAAGGGCCAUAAAAUGCAGUAUCCCAUGGUUGAAUAUUGCACUCCGACAACCUCUGGUGAAGAUGUAAGAGAUUUUGCCAAGGUGCUAAAGAACAAGUUCAGGACAAAACGUUAUUUUGCCAAACACCCCCGUAUGGGCUACCUCCCUGUGCAGACCAUUCUUGAGGGUGAUAACAUGGAAACCCCUGUUACUCUGAUUAACUUCUGGCCUGUUGACCACCUCCCAGCAUCUUCUCCACAACUGUCCUAUGAUGACACCCAUUCACGCAUUGAGCAUUAUGCUAGCAGGCUUGCUGAAAUGGAAAACAGAAAUGGCUCAUAUGUAAAUGAGAAUAUUUCUCCCAAUGAGAGCAUGGAUGAUGAGCAUCUACUGAUCCAACACUACUGCCAGAGUCUUAAUCAGGGUUCCCCUUUAAACCAUCCGCAGAGUCCAGCACAGGUCCUCAUUUCAAUGGAGACUGAAGAAAAGGGUGAACUUGAGAGAGUUCUGAGUGAUCUAGAACAGGAGAAUAGGAGGCUACAGGCAGAAUAUGAUCGACUUAAAAAGGCCCAUGACCACAAAGGGUUCUCACCCCUUCCUUCGCCACCACCAAUGCUACCUGUUUCACCCCAGAAUCGUGAUGCAGAGCUCAUUGCUGAGGCAAAACUGCUGAGACAACACAAAGGUCGCUUAGAGGCAAGAAUGCAAAUUCUGGAAGACCAUAACAAGCAGCUUGAGUCUCAGCUUAAGAGGCUUAGACAGCUACUAGAACAGGUGGUGAUGAGCUGUCCAGUGCCUUCCAGGAUCCAGGCAGUGGGCUAAUGGGAGUAACGGAGCAACUAUAUAAAUCUUUUCCUCAUGGCCAAGGAAUUGGACAGCUAAACCCAUAAAAACUAAACAGGGGAAACCUCAUCUGUAUGGUGGAUAACAUUGGAUAUGCCAUGAAAUCAUUGGUCAAUGUAAUGCCAGAGGAACAGGGUUUAGACUAACAUAUUAUGACAUAUGAAACUGUUAUAUAUUGCAUGCUUUUGUAGUGUAACAAUUGGACAGAAUAUGUUUACAAGAAAUAAAUAAAGUCUAUUUUUCUGAGUG